rnacentral:lncRNA from 1 species
CUACCUGAGCCCAAUUCAAAUAUUUUCCUUACACAAGUUCCAUUAUAUCCUCACUUUCUCUUGCAAUUAUAAUUUAGUCCCCGAAAUAGACUAUAAAUAAGGGGCGUGUAACCAAAUCAGUUAGAUUUCCUGAAUGCAUGUUGAAUUCAUCCUCCUCAUACCUCUCUCUCUCUCUUCUCUCUUCUCCUUUCUCUAACUCAUCUUCUACCUCCCCUCACUCUUUGAUCAAUCUCUUAAUCCAAUCCUU